GAAAAUCAUACCAAGUUUUAGAUGAUCCAAAAUGCAAUCAAGCACAAAAAGCAGUUACACGAUUUAAGAUCAACAAAAAUAACCCAUAUCAGAUUCAUGGGAACUUAUUUGGAUUUGGCAGAUAUACUGUUUGCUGAUUUUUCCAGUAGAUAAAGAAACAAGAAUGCUACUUUAUCUAAAGAGAACACAACACACGCUGCUAAAUUGCUGACAUUAAUUGUACUCGUCGCUUGUAAGAUAUCACAGCAGUAGUACUAUUCUUCAGUUUAUUUGCUUUAAUUUCAUAAUCAAAUAGAGCAAUGUUGAAAUCAUUGUUGUAGAAGAAGAAAAAGAA
rnacentral:lncRNA from 1 species